rnacentral:rRNA from 1 species
GCUUGCACUCGUGGAUCAGUGGCGAACGGGUGAGUAACACGUGAGUAACCUGCCCUCCACUCUGGGAUAAGCGCUGGAAACGGCGUCUAAUACUGGAUACGACCGACCCUCGCAUGGGGUGUUGGUGGAAAGAUUUAUCGGUGGUGGAUGGACUCGCGGCCUAUCAGCUUGUUGGUGGGGUAAUGGCCUACCAAGGCGACGACGGGUAGCCGGCCUGAGAGGGCGACCGGCCACACUGGGACUGAGACACGGCCCAGACUCCUACGGGAGGCAGCAGUGGGGAAUAUUGCACAAUGGGCGAAAGCCUGAUGCAGCGACGCCGCGUGAGGGAUGACGGCCUUCGGGUUGUAAACCUCUUUCAGCAGGGAAGAAGCUUUUGUGACGGUACCUGCAGAAGAAGCACCGGCUAACUACGUGCCAGCAGCCGCGGUAAUACGUAGGGUGCGAGCGUUGUCCGGAAUUAUUGGGCGUAAAGAGCUUGUAGGCGGUUUGUCGCGUCUGCUGUGAAAAUUCAGGGCUUAACCCUGGACGUGCAGUGGGUACGGGCAGACUAGAGUAUGGUAGGGGAGACUGGAAUUCCUGGUGUAGCGGUGGAAUGCGCAGAUAUCAGGAGGAACACCGAUGGCGAAGGCAGGUCUCUGGGCCAUUACUGACGCUGAGAAGCGAAAGCAUGGGGAGCGAACAGGAUUAGAUACCCUGGUAGUCCAUGCCGUAAACGUUGGGCGCUAGGCGUGGGUCUCAUUCCACGAGAUCCGUGUCGCAGC